UACAUAGUCGUGUUGUAACUAGCUGAUAACGGAUCUAUAUAAACGAUUUGUCAUGAGUUUUGAAUCAUCUACCGAUAAAUGGAGCGACUUAGAAUUUCGACGUAUUGGAAUCGAAUGCACAAAAAAGGUACAAGAUUUUAUUGCUGCGUAUUAUUCACCACGGAAUGAAUUGUCAAAAGCUGCCAAUGCGCCUCUGGUAGAAGCGAUUGCUCUGGACAAGGAACGAGCAAAAAAUCUAUUAAAACACAACGCUUCGAUUGGAGUAUUUGUAAGAAAAUCGGGUAGUCUGGUCGCAGUUUCUCUUAAUUCAAUUAAAAUAGAAGGGGGUGGUAAUUCGAGCGUAGUAUUAAAUGGAUCUCCUGAUAACUUCACGUUCGAGUGGAACGAAGCUAUACUACGUAUGCUACGAGUCUUGGAGAAGAACAUUUUUCAAAAUCUUUCAGCAAAGAGAAUAUUUUCUGCACAUAUGAUCACAAUACACCCUAGUUAUUCUAACAUGGGUUUAGGAACAAUCCUGGCACAAAAAUACGAAGAACUUGCAAAGGAAUUGAACUGUGAUUGUCAUAUUGGUCAUCCAACUUCUAAAUAUAUUCUUUCUGUAGUGAAAAGUCUUGGGUCAACCAUACUCCGAAGAAUAGACUUACUCGAUUACAUUGAUGACGUGACAGGCCAAAAACCGUUUACCCAUGCCAAACCCCCACACGACUUCAUUUGUAUAAAUUAUCGUCGUUUGGUUAAACCUAAGUUGUAGCUUGUUUUGAUACAGAAGUUUCUUACGAUAUAAAGUAGGGUAGGGGAAGAUGGGACACCUUUUCAUCAUUCUAUUUUCUCGCCCAUUUGGUAGUAAACAAAGAACACUCAAAGAAUUAUUAAACCAUAUACUCACGAAUUCCAUAGAUCGCUGUUAAUUGUUGAAAAUACGAUCAGAAUAUUUAGAUAUCAUAUGCUAAAGGUGUCCCAUUUUCUCCCAUCCUCGAAGUAGGAAUAAGCUCAGAGUUUGUAGCAGAAAAAUGUUGUUUUUUGCCACGUAUAAUUAGCAGCUAAUUAUUUAAAACUUAAAAAAAUAUUUGGCAAAUAAUUAACAAUUACGUUUAACAGUCUAGAACGAAAUCGGUAUUUUUAAAUUCAUGGAUUCUAAUCAGUGAAGAAUAAUGAAUAUAUCGUACUUAUACCUUAUAUCAGAGUCCGUACGUUUUUAAAUAUGGAUUCUGGUAUUCUGCCUUAUAUAAUUGGACACAAGCGAACAAAUGCAUUGAAAAGCGUGGACUUUUAUUGAUUUGCACAGCAACGGAACUCCUGAUUGCUAAAUGAAUAUUUGCAUACAAUUUCGUCUUCAAACCUUUUACGUGAUGGAGGCACUUCCUGAAUUACAAGGAUGUAAAAUGUUUAAACAUCAAUACAAUGACGUCAAUGGAAUUCUCGGGCUUUUCCGUUCAUUUAAAACUUACUAAAAUAUCAGUUGAUAAGGGUAAGAAGCGCAAGUUUACAAGCAUACGACUUGAAGUAAAGAUAAGACUAAGAGAUGGGACAGCUUACUAUUCUACUACUUGUGGUGAUUGUGAUGAUCAUAGUUAUUGCGCCGACAGGCACGGCACAGUCUAGUAUGCCGAGGUAUUGCACACGACUUUGCAAAAGAAAUCGUUAUACUGGAAACUACAUGAAACAAGUUUGCAAGCGCAAAGAUAG